CCCCAGUUCCUAGGUCCAGGAAGGAUCCCGUGGCGCUGAAAGGGCG
rfam:Quang Binh virus isolate JM17156/China/2017, complete genome